CGGUAGAAAGAGAGUUGAUUCCAAUCUCACCAUGAAAUGUCUAUUUUGAGAAAUUAUUAAUAGGAUACAGCCAGGCUCUGUUUUUCACUUACUUUUGCGAACAGCUGACCUGGCACAGAACUAGGCCCAUUUGGCUGCGGUUUUACCGCGUAUCGGUGAAGCAAAAUAUUAUGGAGCACACUCGACAUUUGACCUUGCACCAUCGAACCGUUAAACGCAUUAAACGAAUGACAAUUGCUUAUGCAGCUAGAUGGUGAUAGCUGCGAUUCAACUGGGAUGCGCAGUCGGACCAAGAUGGUAGCUUAUCGUAAUCCAGUUGCUCUUCGAACCGAGACUUCGUUGUGGGAAUUAUCAUCGCGCUAGUUAUGUCUUUCUCACUUCCUUACGACUGCAGAGAGGAAUAGAUGGCUGACACCGUGUCAAUGAUGUACCUAAGGCAUGAAGCAAAAGGAGUUGUUGUGCUGGGAAUGUCAAACAACUGCGAGACAGUAUCAGAAGAGAUCAAAUAUGUUUUGUCGUAAACCUCCUUCAAACUAUAAAGAGCUUUCUCAUAAUUGUCUGUCAAGAUUCAUACUUCUGUCCAAUCACGUUUUAACACUCACAACUUUGAUUCCGAUUUUAGGAUACCAACCCGUUUAUGUUGUUCUGUAA